UCUCUGAAAAUAUAAAAUCAAACAUUAAUUUCAUAUAAGAUUAAACUAUUUCAUAUAAGAUGUUUCUUAUAAAACAUUUUUCUUCUAAAAUAUAUAGAUAUUUUAAAUAAGUCAUCUUUCUUGAUUACAUACGUGUAAUUAUCUAGAACUGCCAAAAAAUCAAAUCGUGGUAAAUCCUAAGGAAUUUUCAACCUUAAGGAAAAGCCAAGGAAGCUAGGAAGAUGGUGCAAGUUAUUUGACUUUGAUCAGCAACGAGUAUUAUUUUGGUGUUUGGCCGCGUUAUUUAUCGGCCUCUUUAUUGGCGAUCUGAUUUUCAGUUGGCCACGAGCCAGGAUCCGGGAUUUUCUGCUUGCUCGUUUCGCUUCCCAGAAGUGAACGGCAGAGACGAAGAAGCAACGUUAAUGUCUUUACUUUCGAUAAACGUGUUUCGAUGUAACGACAAAUUCAGACACAGGCGUUACCACAACGUGGAGUGAGACAUAGUAAAUCACGGGACUAUGUAGGAAAACCGUGGAACCCGUGAAAGCUCGAAACGCGGAAUUUAUAGACACCUUCAAAAGAGCUUUCGACCGUCACAACAAACAUGUCCCGGCAAUCCAGCAUAGUCAUUCAUCAUUCAGCCUCGCCACACUGGAACUGCGGCUCGUCUAUCAACGAUUUUGAAUCGUUCCAUUCGCCUGUAUUAAUUUCAAUUCGCGAGAAAUAAACUUAUUCUUGAAAAUA